UACAGAGGUCUCAAGCGUUGUUCGGAUUCAUUGGGCGUAAAGGGUGCGUAGGCGGCGCGGUAAGUCGGGUGUGAAAUCUUGGAGCUUAACUCCGAAACUGCAUUCGAUACUGCCGUGCUUGAGGACUGGAGAGGAGACUGGAAUUUACGGUGUAGCGGUGAAAUGCGUAGAUAUCGUAAGGAAGACCAGUGGUGAAGGCGGGUCUCUGGGCCACUACUGACGCUGAGAAGCGAAAAGCAUGGGGAGCGAACAGG
rnacentral:rRNA from 1 species